UUGCCUGAGGGAGGAUGGAAGGCCUGUCAUAUGCUGGACCUUUUAUUUAUAGCAUUCAACCUUGGAUCAUUGACGUAACAAACAUUAGACAUUAGAUACAGAAUAAAGAAACAUUAUUAUAUUACCACCACAAUCUAAUCCAAAUAAAUCAGCAUUACAGUAUGUACUGAACAACAUUACACAAAUUACUAUUAUCAUCACAACCUAACCCCAAUAAAUCAGUACUAUGGUAUGCACUGAGAAACAUUAUGCAAAUCAACAUUACAGAUACAACCUAACUCCAAUAAAACCAUAUCACAAUGUGUACUGAACCUUACCAAUGAUUUAAUACAUACUCGUUAACGUAGUCAAAGGAUACUGACCACGUACGAUAGCACUCUACAUCUUCAUACCAGUUUUUGAGUUAUGUGCUCAAUUAACUGAACGUAAACAUUCAUCUACAUGGCCACUGAGCCCCAGACACUUCAUAGGUUAAUCUGGAUAUCGCGUCCGUGUUACGUACAAGCAUGAAACUCACGUCAUGGAGAAGGGUUCGGUGACCUUGCCGUAAAUGUAAAAAAAAAUUGGGAGGGCACAUGUCUAGUAUGGCUGUAAUAGCACUCGCGAGUAUGGAGAAAUUUGAUAUUUCCUAAGUCCAGCGAGCUCUGCACCAGUCACGAGUAAACACUGAAUUUUUUUUUUUUUUUUUUUUUUUUUUUUUUUUUUUUUAUAACUGCGAUUUGUGGGUAGCGGCAUAUUAGAAUUUCAUGGUAUCUACACAGCUGAUCCUUCCAAUCAUGUGCUGCCAUUUGUAAGGCUAUUCCUGAGGCCGCCAAUUACGACUUUCCGCCGUAGGUUCAGUUACACUUUUCAUUUGUUUUAGAGAUGCGUCAGGCGUUCUGAUAGAGGCUCACUGUUAUUUGUUAAUAUGGCUACCCAGUAGAGGGAGGUGAAACGAACAGUGCCAGUGUUCAGCAGGAAAAGAAGUCAUUAUAUGAGAUAUUUAGCAACAACUAUGGUUAAAAUGCGAUAUACAGACAUGCGAUAUACAUGGAAGAGGUUCCAUGUGUUUACUAAGGAAGCCACCAAACUGUACCCCACCUCCAUCGCCCUGAGAAUCUCCACACCAUACCAGUAAGGCAUAACAGUAUAAUUUUUUUAUGUCCCUCGUUAGGUUAGGUUAUGUUAAGUUAGGUUAUGCUAGGUUAGGUUAGAUUAGGUUAGGUUAUGCUAGGUCAGGUUACAUUAGGUUAUGUUAUGCUAGGUUAGGUUAACGUCCUAGUGGGGGGGGGGGGUCCACGGGGGUCGCAGACCCACCGGUUAAAUUAAAUUCAAGCAAGUUAAGUUAGGUUCAAGCAGGAGGGGUUUAGGGACUAGGAUAGGUUAGGGAAAUUCGAAAUAUUAAAGUAAAUUUCCUUAGAUUUUUUAACACCCUCAUUUCACUUAUUUUUCAUCUUCCCCAAAACCCCCGACUUCCCACAGGCCCCCAAGUUUGUUUGAAGGAUUAGGGGUGGAAUGGGGGGGACAGACUUCUUAUCAAGAAAUACCACUUCAUAAUAUAAGCAUGCAUAAAGGCAUGUAGAGGAACUCCUUGUCAUCAAGAUAAUGAGUCCUUAAAUGCACUGUUAUAAUCAAACCAGCAAAUAAAUGUAUCGGCCUAUGCCUUCGGCCAAGUAACAACAAACAUCACAAAAAAUCCACAGCUAGUCACGGGCUACCUCCUCUGGGGUGCGUUUGAUAGCGCAACUCGGGGCGCCCGGAAUGUUAUGUGUCGUCUCAAACGCGCACUUACUGGGCUCCCAGGGCGGCCGACUCAGAACGUCCCGGGCCUGGAUCCAAAAAACUUAACAACAGGCUAGCAACAAGCGAGUGUCACUAAUUGUCGCUAAAUGGUAUCCACAAACGCAUCGAGUGUUGGUAAGAUGUCGCUAUCUACGAUCUUUUCGUGUCGCUAAUACCUCCCGAGGUGUAGUAAAGGCAUUGUUAUCUCUUAUAUAAAUGUCCAUAUGCACAAAAUGAAAUAAAUAAAUAAAUAAGUAAAUAAGUAAAAAAAAUGCAAAAAAAAAAAAAAAAGAAAAGAAAA